AACGAACGCUGGCGGCAUGCCUAACACAUGCAAGUCGAACGAGACCUUCGGGUCUAGUGGCGCACGGGUGCGUAACGCGUGGGAACCUGCCCUUAGGUUCGGAAUAACUCCCCGAAAGGGGUGCUAAUACCGGAUAAUGUCUUCGGACCAAAGAUUUAUCGCCUGUGGAUGGGCCCGCGUUGGAUUAGCUAGUUGGUAGGGUAAAAGCCUACCAAGGCGACGAUCCAUAGAUGGUCUGAGAGGAUGAUCAGCCACACUGGGACUGAGACACGGCCCAGACUCCUACGGGAGGCAGCAGUGGGGAAUAUUGGACAAUGGGCGAAAGCCUGAUCCAGCAAUGCCGCGUGAGUGAUGAAGGCCUUAGGGUUGUAAAGCUCUUUUACCCGGGAUGAUAAUGACAGUACCGGGAGAAUAAGCACCGGCUAACUCCGUG
rnacentral:rRNA from 1 species